AUCUUUCAAGUUUCUCUAGAAGGGUCUCGCGUCCGAAGUCGGUGGCGAGUGCCCAAC
rnacentral:snRNA from 1 species